UACGUAGGUGGCAAGCGUUGUCCGGAUUUACUGGGCGUAAAGAGCGCGCAGGCGGUCGAAUAAGUCGAAUGUGAAAGCCCCCGGCUCAACUGGGGAGGGUCAUUCGAUACUGUCCGACUUGAAGGCAGGAGAGAGAAGCAGAAUUCCCGGUGUAGUGGUGAAAUGCGUAGAUAUCGGGGAGGAAUACCAGUGGCGAAGGCGGCUUCUUGGCCUGUCUUGACUGCUGAGGGCCGACGGG
rnacentral:rRNA from 1 species